UGGUGAAGAAGUAUACAAACACUAAAAGGGGUCUUAAAAGGAUGCGUUCUUCAAAUAAACCAGUUAACUUUCUCCGAGAUUAUGAUUAUGAUUAGAUAUACUGAUCUGCAAAUCGUGUAACAUACACGCGUCCAAAUGUGUUCCAUGUAAAGUGGUAUUUACAAACGUGUGUACUCUGCAUCUGAUGUCGUAACAACACCUUAAUGGUCAGCGCCCACGCAAUGUAUGUGCAUGCAUAUUAAUAUAUAAGGUGAUUUACCUAAAAUAUUUUCUUUUACAUUUUAACAUUUAAAGAAUUUUUAAUUCUUUUUUGUUUAAUCAAAAUAUUCAUUACAGAAGAAUGAUAAGAAUGAUUUAAAAUUGCAAUGUAUUAGUUUUGUUAUAUAGUGUCAAUUAUAAGUUAGAUAUAUGUUAAUAUAUUAUCUUUUCAAAAUAUUAUCUCGUUUCUUUGAUUUUCUUUGAUUCUUGUUUAAUGUUUCAUGGAACAACAUUUUGAACAAAGGUAACAGUUACAAUACAAAAAAAAUAUUUUGAGAGAGAAAAAUAAAAAAAAUCUAAUUCAAGGAAUUAAUUUAUCAAUUAUAAAAAUUAAAUUUAGAUUUUUGUAGUUUUAUAUACGUCUUAACAUGAUGCAAACAAUUAAUUGAUUUCCUUAUAGAAAAGGAUAGCAAUAUUUAUGAGACACUGUAUAGAUUUGUCGUAGUACGAUAUAUAUGUACCUUGCCUUCCUUCACGGUCUGUUCGUCACAUGUUGAGUACUUUUACCGCGUUUUUCAACAUUCUCCCUGCUUCCCUUACUAACUUCCACAGAUGUAUGAAACUACUUCGCAAAUUAAUUCUUGUUGUUAAAAAGUUUAUAAGAUUUAUUAACAUACAAAAAUUCAUAUAAAGUAACUGUGCAUUUAAAAAAAUUUAUAAAUCAAGAAAUUAUACAAAAAAAAGUU